rnacentral:rRNA from 1 species
CCAAUAGCGUAUAUUAAAGUUGUUGCAGUUAAAAAGCUCGUAGUUGAAUUUCGGGAUCAAUAUGCCGGUCAUGCCUUGGUAUGCACUGGUAUCUUUGAUUUCUCCCUUCUGACGAACUUUGAUGUCAUUAAUUUGGUGUCAUAGGGAAUCAGGACUGUUACUUUGAAAAAAUUAGAGUGUUUAAAGCAGGCUCAGGCUUG